rnacentral:rRNA from 1 species
GACGAACGCUGGCGGCGUGCCUAAUACAUGCAAGUAGAACGCUGAAGGAGGAGCUUGCUUCUCUGGAUGAGUUGCGAACGGGUGAGUAACGCGUAGGUAACCUGCCUGGUAGCGGGGGAUAACUAUUGGAAACGAUAGCUAAUACCGCAUAAUAGUAGAUGUUGCAUGACAUUUGCUUAAAAGGUGCAAUUGCAUCACUACCAGAUGGACCUGCGUUGUAUUAGCUAGUUGGUGGGGUAACGGCUCACCAAGGCGACGAUACAUAGCCGACCUGAGAGGGUGAUCGGCCACACUGGGACUGAGACACGGCCCAGACUCCUACGGGAGGCAGCAGUAGGGAAUCUUCGGCAAUAGACGGAAGUCUGACCGAGCAACGCUGCGUGAGUGAAGAAGGUUUUCGGAUCGUAAAGCUCUGUUGUAAGAGAAGAACGAGUGUGAGAGUGGAAAGUUCACACUGUGACGGUAUCUUACCAGAAAGGGACGGCUAACUACGUG